ACUUCCAGAAAUGCACAGACCCGAUGGGCCGAAUAGCGUUUUCAUGUUCCACAUUGAACAUCAACACUUCUUAUUUCAUAUCUUUAACAGAGAAAAUAUCUGCUUCCUUUGUGAUGGAUUCAUCCAAUUCCAUCCAGGAAAAGGACCAAGCCUAUUCCCGGCAUACACCUCCCAAUGUGAGCAAUCUGUACUGCUGCUGCUGCAGAGGAAGAGCCCACCUGUGAAGGUUUCGAUUGAGAAAAUGGCCACAGGCUGUCUCCUGUUCCGAAUUACUGCUGUCACGCGCGUUCCAUCAGCACAAAUUGGCUAUAACGCGAUUGAGGAUUUGUGGACGCUGUAUGGAUAAUGCAGGCUUUCUGCUGAGCAGCGGCUACACCUCAAAAGCUCCUCAUUGGCUGCAACGAGCUCUCCCGGGAGAUCCUGUGGUUGUGAACAUGCUGUGGAAAUGCCUGUUCUUCCUCUUGCCUUUCCACUUUGAAUGAAAGCUGGCGCAGUUGGAGGGCUGGCAGUGCUGCCAACUUUCACAGACGCUCAACGGGAGGCGACCAACACUCUCAGGAUUGUCCGGAAAUCUUCCAGAAUGGGGUUUAGGGAAUGUUUCAAUCCCAAAGGAAAAUAGUGUUUGCGCUUUGCAUCUGCAAUUCACCCACCUGCACCCUUUUCUCAUCCAUUCUCCCUUGAGCUGGGGCUGCUUUGUCAAGGAGGAGAAAGUGAGGUCUGCAGAUGCUGGAGAU